CACGCCGUAAACGAUGAGUACUAGGUGUAGGGGGUAUCGACCCCCCCUGUGCCGCAGUAAACACAAUAAGUACUCCGCCUGGGAAGUACGAUCGCAAGAUUAAAACUCAAAGGAAUUGACGGGGGCCCGCACAAGCGGAGGAACAUGUGGUUUAAUUCGAUGAUACGCGAGGAACCUUACCCGGGCUCGAACGGUGCAGGAAUACAGGAGAGAUUCUGUAGCAUAGCAAUAUGUCUGCAUCGAGGUGC
rnacentral:rRNA from 1 species